AGCAUGAGAAAUGGCUACCACUUCCAAGGAAGGCAGCAGGCGCGUAAAUUACCCAAUCCUAAAACAGGGAGGUAGUGACGAUAAAAUAACAAUGAUUCAAUGAUAACAAAGUUGAAUUAAUUGGAAUGAGAACAAUAUAAAUCCCUUAUCGAGUAACAAUUUCAGGGCAAGUUCUGGUGCCAGCAGCCGCGGUAAUUCCAGCUGAAAAAGCGUAUACGAAUAUUGUUGCAGUUAAAACGCUCGUAGUUGGAAUAAAACAUGGUUUUCUAUUUUUUUUUAUUUUAAAAUGUAAAAAAGUAUAGAAUAUCAUUUUUUAAUUUUAUAUAUCUCCUAAAAAAGAUAUAUAGUGUUUACUUUGAAUAAAUUAGAGUGCUUUAAGUCAGAUUGAGAUUUAAAUUUUUAAAUACUUUUUUUGACGUUUUGAAUAAUUUAGCAUAGAAUAAAAUAAUAAGA
rnacentral:rRNA from 1 species